GUGCCUAAUACAUGCAAGUCGAACGAAACUUCUUUAUCACCGAGUGCUUGCACUCACCGAUAAAGAGUUGAGUGGCGAACGGGUGAGUAACACGUGGGCAACCUGCCCAAAAGAGGGGGAUAACACUUGGAAACAGGUGCUAAUACCGCAUAACCAUAGUUACCGCAUGGUAACUAUGUAAAAGGUGGCUAUGCUACCGCUUUUGGAUGGGCCCGCGGCGCAUUAGCUAGUUGGUGAGGUAAAGGCUUACCAAGGCAAUGAUGCGUAGCCGAACUGAGAGGUUGAUCGGCCACAUUGGGACUGAGACACGGCCCAAACUCCUACGGGAGGCAGCAGUAGGGAAUCUUCCACAAUGGGCGAAAGCCUGAUGGAGCAACGCCGCGUGGGUGAAGAAGGUCUUCGGAUCGUAAAACCCUGUUGUUAGAGAAGAAAGUGCGUGAGAGUAACUGUUCACGUUUCGACGGUAUCUAACCAGAAAGCCACGGCUAACUACGUGCCAGCAGCCGCGGUAAUACGUAGGUGGCAAGCGUUAUCCGGAUUUAUUGGGCGUAAAGGGAACGCAGGCGGUCUUUUAAGUCUGAUGUGAAAGCCUUCGGCUUAACCGGAGUAGUGCAUUGGAAACUGGGAGACUUGAGUGCAGAAGAGGAGAGUGGAAC
rnacentral:rRNA from 2 species